UACGUAGGGCGCAAGCGUUGUCCGGAAUUACUGGGCGUAAAGCGUGCGCAGGCGGUUAUGUAAGACAGGUGUGAAAUCCCCGGGCUUAACCUGGGAACUGCAUUUGUGACUGCAUAGCUAGAGUACGGUAGAGGGGGAUGGAAUUCCGCGUGUAGCAGUGAAAUGCGUAGAUAUGCGGAGGAACACCGAUGGCGAAGGCAAUCCCCUGGACCUGUACUGACGCUCAUGCACGAAAGCGUGGGGAUCAAACAGG
rnacentral:rRNA from 1 species